UACGUAGGGUGCAAGCGUUGUCCGGAAUUAUUGGGCGUAAAGAGCUCGUAGGCGGUCUGUCGCGUCGGCUGUGAAAUCCCGAGGCUCAACCUCGGGUCUGCAGUCGAUACGGGCAAACUAGAGUAUUGCAGGGGAGACUGGAAUUCCUGGUGUAGCGGUGAAAUACGCAGAUAUCAGGAGGAACACCGGUGGCGAAGGCGGGUCUCUGGGCAAUAACUGACGCUGAGGAGCGAAAGCGUGGGGAGCGAACAGG
rnacentral:rRNA from 1 species